rnacentral:rRNA from 1 species
GCGGCGUGCUUCAUACAUGCAAGUCGAACGAGAAGCAGGAGCUUGCUCCUGUGGAAAGUGGCGGACGGGUGAGUAACACGUAGGAAAUCUGCCUGUGGGUGGGGGACAACAGUUGGAAACGACUGCUAAUACCCCAUAUGAGCUUGGUUGCAAUACCAAUCUUGAAAACUCCGGUGCCUAAAGAUGAGCCUGCGUCUGAUUAGCUUGUUGGAGGGGUAAUGGCCCACCAAGGCGACGAUCAGUAGCUGGGUUGAGCGGAUGAGCAGCCACAAUGCGACUGAGACACGGCCCAUACUCCUACGGGAGGCAGCAGUAGGGAAUUUUGCGCAAUGGGGGAAACCCUGACGCAGCAACGCCGCGUGAAUGACGAAGCCCUUCGGGGUGUAAAGUUCUGUCAGUAGGGAAGAAUUUUGACUGUACCUACAAAGGAAGCACCGGCUAACUCCGUGCCAGCCGCCGCAGUAA